rnacentral:rRNA from 1 species
UACGAAGGGGGCGAGCGUUGUUCGGAUUUACUGGGCGUAAAGGGCGCGCAGGCGGCUUUGUUUGUCAGGCGUGAAAGCCCCGGGCUUAACCUGGGAACUGCGUUUGAUACGGCAGGGCUAGAGUUCGGGAGAGGAGCGUGGAAUUCCCAGUGUAGAGGUGAAAUUCGUAGAUAUCAGGAGGAACACCUGCGGUGUAGACGGCUUACUGGACGGUAACUGACGCUGAGGCACGAAAGCGUGGGUAGCAAACAGG